rnacentral:rRNA from 1 species
AUUGAACGCUGGCGGCAGGCCUAACACAUGCAAGUCGAGCGGAUGAAGGGAGCUUGCUCCUGGAUUCAGCGGCGGACGGGUGAGUAAUGCCUAGGAAUCUGCCUGGUAGUGGGGGAUAACGUCCGGAAACGGGCGCUAAUACCGCAUACGUCCUGAGGGAGAAAGUGGGGGAUCUUCGGACCUCACGCUAUCAGAUGAGCCUAGGUCGGAUUAGCUAGUUGGUGGGGUAAAGGCCUACCAAGGCGACGAUCCGUAACUGGUCUGAGAGGAUGAUCAGUCACACUGGAACUGAGACACGGUCCAGACUCCUACGGGAGGCAGCAGUGGGGAAUAUUGGACGCUGGGCGAAAGCCUGAUCCAGCCAUGCCGCGUGUGUGAAGAAGGUCUUCGGAUUGUAAAGCACUUUAAGUUGGGAGGAAGGGCAGUAAGUUAAUACCUUGCUGUUUUGACGUUACCAACAGAAUAAGCACCGGCUAACUUCGUG